UACGUAGGUGGCAAGCGUUGUCCGGAUUUACUGGGCGUAAAGAGCGCGCAGGCGGUCGUUCAAGUCGCGUGUGAAAGCCCCCGGCUCAACUGGGGAGGGUCACGCGAUACUGAUUGACUCGAAGGCAGGAGAGGGUAGUGGAAUUCCCGGUGUAGUGGUGAAAUGCGUAGAUAUCGGGAGGAACACCAGUGGCGAAGGCGACUACCUGGCCUGUUCUUGACGCUGAGGCGCGAAGGCCAGGGGAGCAAACGGG
rnacentral:rRNA from 1 species